rnacentral:lncRNA from 1 species
UAUCAGUUAGGGUGUGGGCUAAGCUACUGCAACAAAGAGUACCAAAAUAAUGUAGAGUGAUUCUAAGAAGAUGGUUUCACCAUCAUGUAACAGUACUGCAGUGAGUAUUCCAAUUUAGUAGAGUUAGUCUGCUCUAUGAGGUCAUUCAGGGAUUCUCAGAUUGUUCCAUCUUGUUGCUCUGCUGUCUCCAAGUGCACUGAUCUUGGCACUGUGAUUGAAAUUGUGGCAUGGGUACAACUGUGAUCUAGAUUGCAAGAAAGGAAUAAGUGGUGCCUACCCAUUUCUGUCAUUUCUGACUAAUCAGGGUGAUUAUAUUCCCAAGAGUGAGACAUCUGUGUGCAGCAAUCUAGAACCAUGCCAGAGCAGCUUUUCCAGUUUCUCACAGGACCUUGGAUUUCUGUCCUUCUGGCCACCCGAAGCAGGGACUGGCUACUGCAGGAUCCUUAAGAACCCCCUGCAAGCUUCACAGGGAAAAUGGCUGGUUGAGUUAAUGCAGUCAAAACUACAGAGACAGAUUUGUGGGCAACAGAGCGAGCUGUAUGCACCAUUUCCAUUUGAGGGGGACAGGGUUCUUCUUCUAAUUACCAGUCAAGGAAACAACUCAUCUUACUAGUAUCACAAAGGGGCUUUGGAAAGCGAAGACUUCUACUUCCCAUAGAGCUUGAUGUGGUGGGGCCUGCUGUGUUAUGUGGCCGCAAGGUGGCUCCAGAGCCUUUUGCAUUAAAAACAAAUGCCAUCAAGGGCCUCUGGUGCUGCUGCUUUCUCCUUAUGUGGUUUUACCACCAGACUUUCUCAAACUUAGUAGAAAAAGAAAGGAUGAUAUUUUGCGUGGUUGGGUUGGUGUUAUGCUAUCUGAGCAUAUUCUGUGGUCUAAAUAGUUUUCAUGAAGUUUAGAGAAAGCAUUAAGCUAUGUAUGUUUAGGCUCACUUCCAUCUCUCUCUCUCACUCUCUUUCUCUGUGUGUGUUUGUGUAUCUAUCUAUCUAUCUAUCUAUCUAUCUAUCUAUCUAUCUAUCUAUCUAUCUAUCAUCUAUUAUCUAUCUAUCAUCUAUUAUCUAUCUCUAACAUCUGUUUACUUAUUGUAUAUAUGUUUGUAUCUUUAUAUAAUAAUCAUUCAUUUUCUAUAUAUCUACAUCUGUAUGUAAUAUUGAUUAAAU